rnacentral:rRNA from 1 species
GACGAACGCUGGCGGCGUGCCUAAUACAUGCAAGUAGAACGCUGAAGGAGUAGCUUGCUUCUCUGGAUGAUUUGCGAACGGGUGAGUAACGCGUAUGUAACCUUCCUUUUAGCGGGGUAUAACUUUUGGAAACGAUAGCUAAUACCUCAUAAUAUCAUUUGUUGCAUUACAACUGUUUGAAAGUUUCAAUUUCACCACUACCAGAUGGACCUGCGUUUUUUUGGCUAGUUGUUGUGGUAACGGCUCAACAAGGCGAAGAUACAUAUCCGACAUGAUAGGGUGAACGGCAAAAAUGGGAAGGGGAAAAGGACAAGAAUAAUACGGGAGGCAGCAGUAGGGAAACAUCGGAAAUGGAAGGAAGUCUGAACGAGAAAAGCGGAGUGAGUGAAGAAGGUGUGCGGAUCGUAAAGCUCGGUUGUAAGAGAAGAACGAGUGGGAGAGUGGAAAGUUCACAGUGUGACGGUAUCUGAACAGAAAGGGACGGCUAACUACGUG